UACGUAGGGUCCGAGCGUUGUCCGGAUUUAUUGGGCGUAAAGAGCUCGUAGGCGGUUCCGUAAGUCAGAUGUGAAAACUCAGGGCUCAACCCGGAGACGCCAUCUGAUACUGCCGUGCUUGAGGACUGGAGAGGAGACUGGAAUUUACGGUGUAGCGGUGAAAUGCGUAGAUAUCGUAAGGAAGACCAGUGGCGAAGGCGGGUCUCUGGACAGUUCCUGACGCUGAGGCACGAAGGUCAGGGGAGCAAACGGG
rnacentral:rRNA from 1 species